AUGCAGGCAUAUCGCAGCCUCCUAGCGUAAGCUAGGUUGCAAACGAGGUGAACUCGGGGAAGUCCACAAACGGAUAAUCCCGAGCCAAGCCCCGAUCAAUAUCGGGGAAGGUGUAGAGACUAUCUCGCAAGAGAGUAGUUCCGAUAACUAAAUCGGCACGAAGCUCCUCGCAUCCCAAUUGGGAUGAUGAUAUAGUCCAUCCCUAGAGGUAACUUUAGG
rnacentral:ncRNA from 1 species